rnacentral:miRNA from 1 species
UUUGAUAGAACCACUGCA